GACAAGGUAGUUUAAUUAAAAAUACUUGUUUUACACACAAGAGUUGAGUGUUUUCUAUUGUCA
rnacentral:tRNA from 1 species